rnacentral:tRNA from 1 species
GUCAGUAUGGCCGAGUGGACUAAGGCGAUAGACUCGAAUUCUCGAUAUCUAUUGGGUUCGCCCUCCUAGGUUCGAAUCCUAGUGCUGACG